rfam:Populus trichocarpa scaffold_2_contig_93, whole genome shotgun sequence.
UAAUCUAUAUGGACCAUAUGCUCAUUUAAUUAUGGUACACCUACAUCUAGUUGUUUAAAAUCACCCAUUAUCACAAAUCUAACUACAUCAAUAGGUCAUUCUGGCAUGGGACAGGCGAAGUGAUCACCUGGUUGGUGAGUCUGUACAUUUUA